GACGAACGCUGGCGGCGUGCCUAAUACAUGCAAGUUGAGCGAUGAAGAUUGGUGCUUGCACCAAUUUGCAGAGCAGCGAACGGGUGAGUAACGCGUGGGGAAUCUGCCUUUGAGCGGGGGACAACAUUUGGAAACGAAUGCUAAUACCGCAUAACAACUUUAAACAUAAGUUUUAAGUUUGAAAGAUGCAAUUGCAUCACUCAAAGAUGAUCCCGCGUUGUAUUAGCUAGUUGGUGAGGUAAAGGCUCACCAAGGCGAUGAUACAUAGCCGACCGGAGAGGGUGAUCGGCCCCAUUGGGACUGAGACACGGCCCAAACUCCUACGGGAGGCAGCAGUAGGGAAUCUUGGGCAAUGGACGAAAGGCUGACCGAGAAACGCCGCGGGAGUGAAGAAGGUUUUCGGAUCGUAAAACUCUGUUGGUAGAGAAGAACGUUGGUGAGAGUGGAAAGCUCAUCAAGUGACGGUAACUACCCAGAAAGGGACGGCUAACUACGUG
rnacentral:rRNA from 1 species